rnacentral:rRNA from 1 species
UGGGGAAUAUUGGACAAUGGGCGCAAGCCUGAUCCAGCCAUGCCGCGUGAGUGAUGAAGGCCUUAGGGUUGUAAAGCUCUUUCGACGGGGACGAUAAUGACGGUACCCGUAGAAGAAGCCCCGGCUAACUUCGUGCCAGCAGCCGCGGUAAUACGAAGGGGGCUAGCGUUGCUCGGAAUCACUGGGCGUAAAGGGCGCGUAGGCGGACGUUUAAGUCAGAGGUGAAAGCCCAGGGCUCAACCCUGGAAUGGCCUUUGAUACUGGACGUCUUGAGUCUGGUAGAGGUUGGUGGAACUGCGAGUGUAGAGGUGAAAUUCGUAGAUAUUCGCAAGAACACCGGUGGCGAAGGCGGCCAACUGGACCAGAACUGACGCUGAGGCGCGAAAGCGUGGGGAGCAAACAGGAUUAGAUACCCUGGUAGUCCACGCCGUAAACGAUGGAUGCUAGCCGUUGGCGGGUUUACCCGUCAGUGGCGCAGCUAACGCGUUAAGCAUCCCGCCUGGGGAGUACGGCCGCAAGGUUAAAACUUAAAUGAAUUGACAGGGUCAUAGCUGUUUCCUG